rnacentral:sRNA from 1 species
ACGACUCCUGUCUCUACGCCUGCAACUUCCCCUGUAUCCCCUCCCACUACAAUUCCAG